AGUCGAGGUCCGGAGCUUAUGGGUUAUCAAAUCCUAUUGACCCCUUCCCAUAGGCGCUCACUCGACCUGAC
rnacentral:sRNA from 1 species